rnacentral:rRNA from 1 species
AUUCCUACGGGAGGCAGCAGUGGGGAAUAUUGCACAAUGGGCGCAAGCCUGAUGCAGCAACGCCGCGUGGGGGACGACGGCCUUCGGGUUGUAAACCUCUUUUAGCAGGGAAGAAGCGCAAGUGACGGUACCUGCAGAAAAAGCACCGGCUAACUACGUGCCAGCAGCCGCGGUAAUACGUAGGGUGCAAGCGUUGUCCGGAAUUAUUGGGCGUAAAGAACUCGUAGGCGGUUUGUCGCGUCUGCUGUGAAAAUCCGAGGCUCAACCUCGGACCUGCAGUGGGUACGGGCAAACUAGAGUGCGGUUGGGGAGAUUGGAAUUCCUGGUGUAGCGGUGGAAUGCGCAGAUAUCAGGAGGAACACCAAUGGUGAAGGCAGAUCUCUGGGCCGUAACUGACGCUGAGGAGCGAAAGCGUGGGGAGCGAACAGGAUUAGAUACCCUGGUAGUCCACGCCGUAAACGGUGGGAACUAGAUGUGGGGUCCGUUCCACGGAUUCCGCGUCGCAGCUAACGCAUUAAGUUCCCCGCCUGGGGAGUACGGCCGCAAGGCUAAAACUCAAAGGAAUUGACGGAAU